rnacentral:tRNA from 2 species
GGAGGAUUACCCAAGUGGCUGAAGGGGGCGGUCUUGAAAACCGCUAGGCCGCGAGAGCGACGCGAGGGUUCGAAUCCCUCAUCCUCCU